rnacentral:tRNA from 1 species
GUCUUAAUAGUAUAAACUAUUACUCUGGUCUUGUAAACCAGAAAUGAAGAAUCUAUCUUCUUAAGRCA